rnacentral:rRNA from 1 species
UAGGGAGGGUGCAAGCGUUAUCCGGAUUCACUGGGUUUAAAGGGUGCGUAGGUGGGCAGGUAAGUCCGUGGUGAAAUCCUAUAGCUUAACUAUAGAACUGCCAUGGAUACUAUUUGUCUUGAAUGUCGUAGAGGUAAGCGGAAUAUGUCAUGUAGCGGUGGAAUGCUUAGAUAUGACAUAGAACACCAAUUGCGAAGGCAGCUUACUAUGCGAUGAUUGACACUGAGGCACGAAGGCGUGGGUAGCUAACAGG